rnacentral:rRNA from 1 species
UGAGGAAUAUUGGUCAAUGGGCGGGAGCCUGAACCAGCCAAGCCGCGUGACGGAAGAAGGCGCUAAGCGUCGUAAACGUCUUUUGCCGGGGAACAAAGGCGCGGACGCGUCCGCGUGUGAGUGUACCCGGAGAAAAAGCAUCGGCUAACUCCGUGCAGCAGCCGCGGUAAUACGGGGAUGGCGAGCGUUAUCCGGAUUUCAUUUGGGUUUGUAAAAGGGGUGCGUAGGCGGCCCGUUAAGUCAGCGGUAAAAGCCCGGGGCUCAACCCCGGCGAGCCGUUGAAACUGGGGGGCUAGAGACGGCGAGAAGUACGCGGAAUGCGCGGUGUAGCGGUGAAAUGCAUAGAUAUCGCGCAGAACUCCGAUUGCGAAGGCAGCGUACCGGCGCCGGACUGACGCUGAGGCACGAAAGCGUGGGUAUCGAACAGGAUUAGAUACC